GGGCCCAUAGCUCAGCGGUAGAGCAGGGGACUCAUAAUCCCUUGGUCGGUGGUUCGAUCCCACCUGGGCCCACCA
rnacentral:tRNA from 1 species